UAUCCGUAGGUGAACCUGCGGAAGGAUCAUUAUUGGAUUUUGAAACUUCAGGCUGCUGCUGGCUCUCCUCGGAGGGCAUGUGCACGCUUGUUGUCCAUUAUUUCUCCCACUGUGCACAAAUUGUAGACCUUUCAGUAGGCCUAUGUUGUUUUUCACAAUCUCUGAAUGUAAUAGAAUGGUUUUGAAUCUUGGGAAAUACAAUACAACUUUCAGCAACGGAUCUCUUGGCUCUCACAUCGAUGAAGAACGCAGC
rnacentral:misc_RNA from 1 species